CAGGAAGGCAACUCUGUCUACAUGAAAUGUCAAGAUAUCUGUUUGCAUCUGAAGCUAGGUUAAAGAUGGAGUUGGGACAGAGGCAAGUCACCAUCUUGUGUGGCACCUUCAUCCAUUCAUGAAGGACUCUCAGAAGUGUCCCAUCAGUGUCCAGCUCUGAAACUGACAUCAGUUCUGCCACUACAAAAGCUGAAAUCUUUGCUUCAAGAAAAAAGGGUUUCAGAACUUUAAUGCCUCUACUGUUCUUGGAAAGAUAACACACCUUACUGAACAAAGCCCUUCUCUGACCUUGGCAUGUCACAGUAUGACUUUGCUGGUGAAAAAGAUAAAAAGUGUCAAAGGCAAUGCUCAAGAAACAGCAUGCUCUGCCUGUGUUCAUGAUGUGCCGACAUUGGCCCUGAGUCCCCUAUAGGUCCUGAGAACUGAUCCUACAUAUGGAGUGCUUGUUUUUCUGUUUAAAGUACCUGAAAUAAUAUGGAGCAGUGCUGGUUUUACACCACGUUACCAGCAUUUGUUUUACACACCUUUGGAUGUGGCAUGGCGGAGUAUUUAAGGAUGCAAAGUCUUCCUGAGUGGUUCUACAAGACAGUUAAAGGUGAAAAGAGAAGGCAUAUAGCAUACACAAGAUGGUUCCUGAACUGCUUGAUGAUGAAGACAUGAAGGGCUCUCUUGAAGAGGACUUUAGGCACAGAUAUAGCAGCAGGUGUGCUAGCAGUGAAACAGUGGGGACGAUGACCUCUCCAGUGCUGGAACUUGCUCUUUGGUCAUAUUUUACUUAGUGAUAUUUAGUGUUAUGUGCUUGCAUUAUAAUAAAUACUACUGUAGAUUAUGCAUUUUAUGAUUUCAAAUGUCCCUCCCCCACUGCUGUAUUCAUCAAGGGGAUUGAAAUCAGUUGUACUUUGGUUAUGGUUCUAGUUCUGCUUCCACUUGAAACAACCUGAGAGAGUUUCUUUGUUCUAAGAUGAAAUGUUCCUGAGCAUUGUUAAUUUGAGAUGUCAAAGAAUUAUUUUCCCAAUGAAAUAUCUAAGCACUAUAAAGAAAUACCCAAAACGGUCCUUUGUCACCAUUUAAAUAGAUGUAUUAACUCUUUCAUUUCCCUUAGGCCUUCACUCAAAGAGGUUUCAGUAUACACUUGGAAAUAAG
ensembl:lncRNA